CCCAGCUGUGUUUUGCAGCCCUGCCUGUGUUGACCGUCGCCCAGGGAACAGGCGAGUCCCGAGUGCGCAUGGGGCGGAAGGGGCGGACCCGGUUUGUGCCCUCUGAGGACGUCUGAGCCACUCAGUGGGUGCAGAUGCAGUGAAGCUCCUUAGGAUACAAAGUAAACAAAAGAAUACCAGGAAGUCCCUGAAACUGACCAGAUUCACUAGGCUCCUCCUUUCCUGACAGUGAACAAUAGCCAGUGCUGAGAGUUCCACUAAAAGGAACCAAGCUGCAAAGGAGACUUAGGAGACCACCCAAGUGGCCUGGAAGAAGCAGAGACCUCUGGAGCAGCGGGGAAGAACAACAGAGCCACUUGGAAAGCACACUCCCCUACCUGUUGAGUUGCCUGCAGGUUGUACCGUGUGCACCAGGCUGCCAACUUUUGUGAGCUGUCACCCACACUGUUGUGGUCUUGGGUGAUGCAACUGUCUGACUCAUAUCUACCUCUGUAAGUAAUCCCAGUAAAACUCAUUGGUUUACCUACUAA